rnacentral:rRNA from 1 species
UACGGGGGGGGGCGAGCGUUGUUCGGAAUUACUGGGCGUAAAGGGUGCGUAGGCGGUUUGCUAAGUUGGAUGUGAAAACUCUGGGCUCAACCCAGAGCCUGCAUCCAAGACUGGCAGACUGGAGUUCUGGAGGGGGUAGCGGAAUUCCUGGUGUAGCGGUGAAAUGCGUAGAUAUCAGGAGGAACACCGGUGGCGAAGGCGGCUACCUGGACAGAAACUGACGCUGAGGCACGAAAGCUAGGGGAGCAAACAGG